rnacentral:tRNA from 1 species
GGGGACAUAGUUCAGUUGGUUAGAGCGCUUGCUCGACAUGCAAGAGAUCACUGGUUCGAAUCCAGUUGUCCCCA